GCCAGCAGCCAUAUCACUCUGCAACUCACAACCGGCAACCCACUGAAGCUCAGCAGGUGUGAGCCUGGUCAGUACCUGGAUGGGAGACCUCCUGAGAAAAACUAAGGUUGCUGCUGGAA
rnacentral:rRNA from 1 species